GGCAAGGCAAGUGCAGGUUACUUCUCGCCCUUGGACGGUCUAUCUAGAAGCCAGCUAGUCGUCCAGCAGGCGGGGUUAUCGUGAGGUGGCAUGCGUAUCGGGAUUACUCGGGCGUAAGGGCUCGGCAGGGCGGUUUCUUAGGUUGAUGUGCAAUGCCCCGGCUCAUCGGGGAGGGUCAUGGAACUGGGAUGUUGCCGUGCAGGAGGAGGGAGAGUGGCAUUCCAUGUGCACCCGGUGAAUUGCGGUAGGAGAUGUGGAGGAACACCAGUGGCGGAGGGGGACUCUCUGGUCUGUAACUGACGCUGAGGAGCGAAAGCGUGGGGGAGCCACCAGGAUUAGAUACCUUGGUAGUCCACGCCGUAAACGAUGAGUGCUAAGGGGCAAGGGGGCUUUCCCCCCCUUAGUUCUGCAGUUACCGCAUUAAGCACACCCCCUGGGGAGUACGAUCGCAAGUCUGAAACUCAAAGGAAUUGACGGGGCCCCGCACAAGCGGUGGAGCAUGUGUUUUAAUUCGAAGCAACGCGAAGACCCUUCCCAGGUCUUGACUUCCUCUGACAACCCUAGAGAUAGGGCUUUCCCUUCGGGGACACAUUGGCCCAUGGGGCAAGGUUCUCUUCAGCUCCCUUCCGUGGGAUUUUGGGCUAAUUCCCACUACCAGCGCGACCCUUCAUCUUAGUUGCCACCUUUCAGUUGGGCCCUUUAAGGUGACUGCCGGUGACAAACCGGAGGAAGGUGGGGAUGCCGUCAAAUCACCAUGCCCCUAAUGGCCUGGGGUACCCCCGUGCUGCAAGGGACAGAACAAAGGGUUUUUCAUCCUCGAGGUCAAGCCAAUCCCGGAAAUAUCUGUUUACAGUUCGGAUCGCAGUUAGCUACUUGAGUGCGACAAGCAGGAAUCGCUAGUAAGUGCGGAUCACCAUUCCGCGGAUAAUACGUUCCCGGACUAAGUUCCCCCCCUCCGUCCCCCCGCUCGACUUGCAACCCCCGAAGUCGGUGAGGUAACCCGUAGCAACCAG
rnacentral:rRNA from 1 species